ACGGGUGCGUAACGCGUGGGAAUCUGCCCUCAGGUUCGGAAUAACCAUUGGAAACGAUGGCUAAUACCGGAUGAUGACGUUAAGUCCAAAGAUUUAUCGCCUGAGGAUGAGCCCGCGUAGGAUUAGCUAGUUGGUGUGGUAAAGGCGCACCAAGGCGACGAUCCUUAGCUGGUCUGAGAGGAUGAUCAGCCACACUGGGACUGAGACACGGCCCAGACUCCUACGGGAGGCAGCAGUGGGGAAUAUUGGACAAUGGGCGCAAGCCUGAUCCAGCAAUGCCGCGUGAGUGAUGAAGGCCUUAGGGUUGUAAAGCUCUUUUACCCGGGAUGAUAAUGACAGUACCGGGAGAAUAAGCUCCGGCUAACUCCGUGCCAGCAGCCGCGGUAAUACGGAGGGAGCUAGCGUUGUUCGGAAUUACUGGGCGUAAAGCGCACGUAGGCGGCUUUGUAAGUUAGAGGUGAAAGCCUGGAGCUCAACUCCAGAAUUGCCUUUAAGACUGCAUCGCUUGAAUCCAGGAGAGGUGAGUGGAAUUCCGAGUGUAGAGGUGAAAUUCGUAGA
rnacentral:rRNA from 2 species